rnacentral:rRNA from 1 species
AGGAUUAACGCUGGCGGCGUGCCUAACACAUGCAAGUCGAACGAGGUAGCAAUACCUAGUGGCAGACGGGUGAGUAGCGCGUGGUCAACCUACCGUUGAGUGGGGGAUAACUAGCCGAAAGGUUAGCUAAAUACCGCAUACGUCUCCGAGGGGCAUCCCUUGGUGAUAAAAAGGAGCAAUCCGCUCGAUGACGGGACCGCGUCCCAUUAGCUAGUUGGUGGGGUAACGGCCUACCAAGGCAUCGAUGGGUAGCUGGUUUGAGAGAGCGACCAGCCACACUGGGACUGAGAUACGGCCCAGACUCCUACGGGAGGCAGCAGUGAGGAAUUUUCCGCAAUGGGCGAAAGCCUGACGGAGCGACGCCGCGUGUGGGAAGAAGGCCUUCGGGUCGUAAACCACUGUCGAAGGGGAAGAUAAAUGACGGUACCCUUGGAGGAAGCCCGGCUAACUACGCGCCAGCAGCCGC